rnacentral:lncRNA from 1 species
ACGGACAAUUUUGCUGAGGGAGAUUUCACUAUGGCGGAUUAUGCCUUGUUAGAAGAUUGCCCUUACGUGGACGAUUGUGUCUUUGCUGCUGAAUUUAUGACCGAUGAUUAUGUUCGUGUGACUCAGCUUUACUGUGAUGGGGUGGGUAAGCAAUAUAAAGAUUAUGUCCAAAGUGAGAGGAAUUUAGAAUUUGACAUCUGCAGUAUAUGGUGUAGUAAACCAAUUUCUGUCCUGCAAGAUUAUUGUGAUGCCAUUAAAAUAAACAUCUUCUGGCCACUUCUGUUUCAACAUCAAAACAGUUCUGUAAUAUCACGAUUGCAUCCCUGUGUGGACGCCAACAAUUCACGUGCUUCCGAGAUAAAUUUGAAGAGAUUACAACAUCUUGAGUUGAUGGAAGAUAUUGUGGAUUUGGCAAAGAAAGCUGCUAAUGAUUCACUCCUUAUUGGAGGCUUAUUGAGAAUUGGUUAUAAAAUAGAAAAUAAAAUCUUGGCAAUGGAAGAAGCUCUGAAUUGGAUAAAAUAUGCAGGCGAUGUAACAAUUCUAACUAAAUUAGGAUCAAUUGACAAUUGUUGGCCUAUGUUAAGUAUUUUCUUUACUGAAUACAAGUACCACAUAACUAAAAUUGUAAUGGAAGACUGCAAUUUGCUUGAAGAACUUAAAACCCAAAGUUGUAUGGAUUGUAUAGAGCAAGGAGAACUAAUGAAAAUGAAAGGAAAUGAAGAGUUUUCCAAAGAAAGAUUUGAUAUAGCUAUUAUCUAUUACACCAGAGCCAUUGAAUAUAGACCUGAAAACCACCUUCUUUAUGGUAACCGAGCUCUUUGUUUUCUUCGUACUGGACAGUUUAGA